rnacentral:rRNA from 1 species
GAUGAACGCUGGCGGCGUGCUUAACACAUGCAAGUCGAACGAAGCACUCUAUUUGAUUUUCUUCGGAAAUGAAGAUUUUGUGACUGAGUGGCGGACGGGUGAGUAACGCGUGGGUAACCUGCCUCAUACAGGGGGAUAACAGUUGGAAACGACUGCUAAUACCGCAUAAGCGCACAGGAUCACAUGAUCUGGUGUGAAAAACUCCGGUGGUAUGAGAUGGACCCGCGUCUGAUUAGCCAGUUGGCAGGGUAACGGCCUACCAAAGCGACGAUCAGUAGCCGACCUGAGAGGGUGACCGGCCACAUUGGGACUGAGACACGGCCCAAACUCCUACGGGAGGCAGCAGUGGGGAAUAUUGCACAAUGGGGGAAACCCUGAUGCAGCGACGCCGCGUGAGCGAAGAAGUAUUUCGGUAUGUAAAGCUCUAUCAGCAGGGAAGAAGAAUGGCGGUACCUGACUAAGAAGCACC